AAAAAAGGCAAGGAACUGAAGGAAUAGUCCAUGCUCAUUUAUCCAUCUAAGCUGAGCCAAACUAAGAGUAGCUGGCAUUAGGCUUUAACAGAAUAGCAUCUUAAUUGCUUAUCAGGAUGAGAAAGAAAUACCCACAGCAUGGAUAAUUCUGAAUGGAGCUGCUAAGCCACCUUAGGCAGACUGAAGUUGGGGAGGUUGAGAAACAUGAAAUGCUUUCCUCAGAAACAAAGGAUGUACAUGCAGAGACACCCUGACAAAGUCUCAAAAGCCCACCAGCUGAGAAGAAUCUAGGAAUACCAACAUUUAAAGCUGGAAAGGAAUGGAAAAGGACAAACAAAGAAGAAAGGAUGGAGGGUUCUUACAUGCCCACCCAGCUGGAAGAUGAAAAAGAGAAAGCAAAGAGUAAGUAUUAGGCUAUAAGUUUCUUCUCUGCUUUUUCUCACAGAAAAGGAGCCAGAUGAGGUCAAGAAGAAAACAAGAUAUUUAUGACGUCCAUUUUAAAGUAUUUUAAAAGAAAUAUGAAUAUCAAGACUGAAGUUCAUCAAGAUCUUGGUAUAAAAUACAAUAGAAGAUAUUCAAGUGCAAGGUCCUCUACCUGGGUCACCGCAAUCUCAAGCACAAUUGCAUACUGGGUGGAGAACGGUUUGAGAGUACCCCUGAGAAGAACGCUUUAGAGGUGCUUGUGGAUGAGAAGUUCAAUGUGAGCCAGCAACGUGCACUUGCAGCCCAGAAAGCCAAACGAAUCCAAGGCUGCAUCAAAAGUAGGAUGAUGUUAGACCAAAUCCAGAGGAGGGCUAUGAAGAUGGUCAGAGGGCUGGAGCACCUCCUACAUGAGGACAGGCUGAGAGAGUUGGGAUUGUUCAGGCUGAAGAAGAGAAGGCUCUGGGGAGAUCUUAUAGCAGCAUUCCAGCACCUGAAGGGCCUACAGGAAAGAUCGGCAGGGGCUCUUUCUCAGACAGUGCAGUGGUAGGACAAGGAGUAGUGGUUUUAAGCUGAAAGAGGGUGCAUUUAGAUUAGCUAUUAGGAAGCAAUUUUUUACUGUGAAGGUGCCGAGGCACUGGAACAGGUUGCCCAGAGAAGUUGUGGAUGCCGCACCCCUGGAGAUGUUCAAGAUCAGGCUGGACAGGGCCUUGAACAGCCUGUUCUAGUGGAAGGUGUUCUUGUCCGUGGCAGGAGGGUUGGAAAUGGAUGAUCUUUAAGGUCUUUUCUGUCCCAAACCAUUCUACGAUUCAAUGUUUGUGACAAAAGUUCUUGUAUCAGAAUGACCUUUUACAGUAA